AAUAUGCAGCAGUACGAGAUGGAACCAAAACGGGCUCGACCAAUGGCAGAAGCAUCGAAAAUUUCAAAACCGGCCAACGAUGGACAACACUAGGGAUUCAACAAUGACGAGAUCAUCUGGACCAACUGGAGAAGAAAAUCAGCCACAUCGGACACCCAAGAAGACGACCAUGGAAAUCUGGCAGUUUAGGAAGGUCAAACGCUUAUACGAAGGAUUUACAGGAAACCAUUGGAAAACAAUCAAGAAGACAACAAUAUCAGCAAGGACGCUUGCAAAGACGAAUAUGGACUACAGCUCAAGAAAGGGUAAAAUUUGUGAGUACAUCGUGGGGAAUCUAAAAAGAUC